rnacentral:tRNA from 1 species
ACCUUUUUAGUUUAUGUUUAUAAAAAUAUAACUUUGAAGAAGUUGAGAAAUUGUAGAGGUG